UAAAAACCCCGACUUCGGAAGGGGUGUAUUUAUUAGAUACAAAACCAAUGCCCUUCGGGGCUCUUUGGUGAUUCAUGAUAACUAUACGAAUCGCACGGCCUUGCGCCGGCGAUGGUUCAUUCAAAUUUCUUCCCUAUCAACUUUCGAUGUUUGGGUAUUGGCCAAACAUGGUUGCAACGGGUAACGGAGGGUCAGGGCUCGACCCCGGAGAAGGAGCCUGAGAAACGGCUACUACAUCCAAGGAAGGCAGCAGGCGCGCAAAUUACCCAAUCCCGACUCGGGGAGGUAGUGACAAUAAAUACUGAUACAGGGCCCUUUCGGGCCUUGUAAUUGGAAUGAGUACAAUUUAAAUCCCUUAACGAGGAACAAUUGGAGGGCAAGUCUGGUGCCAGCAGCCGCGGUAAUUCCAGCUCCAAUAGCGUAUAUUAAAGUUGUUGUGGUUAAAAAGCUCGUAGUUGAACCUUGGGCCUGGCUGGCCGGUCCGCCUCACCGCGUGCACUGGUCCGGCCGGGCCUUUCCCUCUGUGGAACCCCAUACCCUUCACUGGGCGUGGCGGGGAAACAGGACAUUUACUUU
rnacentral:rRNA from 1 species